GAUGAACGCUGGCGGCGUGCUUAAUACAUGCAAGUCGAACGAACAGACGAGGAGCUUGCUCCUCGGACGUUAGCGGCGGACGGGAGAGAAACACGUGUAUAACGUACCUAUAAGUCGGGUAUCACUACGAGAAACCGGAUCUAAUACCGUAUGAUAUAUUGAACCGCGUGGGGCAAUAGUAAGAGACGGUUUUGCUGUCUCUAAUAGCUGCUUCUCGGCCGCAUUAGCUAGUUGGUAAGGUAACAGCCUACCAAGGCGACGAUGCGUAGCCGAACUGAGGGGCGGAUAGGCCACCUGGGAAGCGAGCCACGGUCCAGACUCCUGAGGGAGGCAGCAGUCGGGUAUGUUAGGCAAUGGGCGGAAGCCUUACGCAGCAAGGGCGCGUGAGAGGCGAAAGCCCUCCGUUCGGAAAGCCCUGUUUUUAGGUAUGAACCGAUUUCGAAGGUAACAAGGCGUUAUUGACGGUACCUGAUAAAGAAGCACCGGCUAACUACGUG
rnacentral:rRNA from 1 species